rnacentral:rRNA from 1 species
AGAGUUUGAUCCUGGCUCAGAUUGAACGCUGGCGGAAUGCUUUACACAUGCAAGUCGAGCGGCAGCGCGGGGGCAACCCUGGCGGCGAGCGGCGAACGGGUGAGUAAUACAUCGGAACGUGCCCAGUAAUGGGGGAUAACACAGCGAAAGUUGUGCUAAUACCGCAUACGAUCUACGGAUGAAAGCGGGGGAUCGCAAGACCUCGCGCGAUUGGAGCGGCCGAUGGCAGAUUAGGUAGUUGGUGGGGUAAAGGCUCACCAAGCCUGCGAUCUGUAGCUGGUCUGAGAGGACGACCAGCCACACUGGGACUGAGACACGGCCCAGACUCCUACGGGAGGCAGCAGUGGGGAAUUUUGGACAAUGGGCGCAAGCCUGAUCCAGCCAUUCCGCGUGCAGGAUGAAGGCCCUCGGGUUGUAAACUGCUUUUGUACGGAACGAAAAGCCUUCUUCUAAUACAGGAGGGUCAUGACGGUACCGUAAGAAUAAGCACCGGCUAACUACGUGCCAGCAGCCGCGGUAAUACGGAGGAUCCAAGCGUUAUCCGGAAUCAUUGGGUUUAAAGGGUCCGUAGGCGGUCAGAUAAGUCAGUGGUGAAAGCCCAUCGCUCAACGGUGGAACGGCCAUUGAUACUGUCUGACUUGAAUUAUUAGGAAGUAACUAGAAUAUGUAGUGUAGCGGUGAAAUGCUUAGAGAUUACAUGGAAUACCAAUUGCGAAGGCAGGUUACUACUAAUGGAUUGACGCUGAUGGACGAAAGCGUGGGUAGCGAACAGGAUUAGAUACCCUGGUAGUCC